AUUGAACGCUGGCGGCAGGCUUAACACAUGCAAGUCGAGCGGCAGCGGAAAGUAGCUUGCUCCAUCGCUGGCGAGCGGCGGACGGGUGAGUAAUGUCUGGGAAACUGCAUGAUGGAGGGGGAUAACUACUGGAAACGGUAGCUAAUACCGCAUGACCUCGAAAGAGCAAAGUGGGGGAUCUUCGGACCUCACGCCAUCGGAUGUGCCCAGAUGGGAUUAGCUAGUAGGUGAGGUAAUGGCUCACCUAGGCGACGAUCCGUAGCUGGUCUGAGAGGAUGACCAGCCACACUGGAACUGAGACACGGUCCAGACUCCUACGGGAGGCAGCAGUGGGGAAUAUUGCACAAUGGGCGCAAGCCUGAUGCAGCCAUGCCGCGUGUGUGAAGAAGGCCUUAGGGUUGUAAAGCACUUUCAGCGAGGAGGAAGGCAUCAUACUUAAUACGUGUGGUGAUUGACGUUACUCGCAGAAGAAGCACCGGCUAACUCCGUGCCAGCAGCCGCGGUAAUACGGAGGGUGCAAGCGUUAAUCGGAAUUACUGGGCGUAAAGCGCACGCAGGCGGUUUGUUAAGUCAGAUGUGAAAUCCCCGCGCUUAACGUGGGAACUGCAUUUGAAACUGGCAAGCUAGAGUCUUGUAGAGGGGGGUAGAAUUCCAGGUGUAGCGGUGAAAUGCGUAGAGAUCUGGAGGAAUACCGGUGGCGAAGGCGGCCCCCUGGACAAAGACUGACGCUCAGGUGCGAAAGCGUGGGGAGCAAACAGG
rnacentral:rRNA from 1 species